AGAGUUUGAUCAUGGCUCAGGAUGAACGCUAGCUACAGGCUUAACACAUGCAAGUCGAGGGGCAUCAUGAUUCUAGCUUGCUAGAAUUGAUGGCGACCGGCGCACGGGUGAGUAACGCGUAUCCAACCUUCCCUAUAGUAGAGGAUAGCCCGGCGAAAGUCGGAUUAAUACUCUAUGUUGUUCAAUGCGGACAUCUAAGUUGAACCAAAGGUUUACCGCUAUAGGAUGGGGAUGCGUCUGAUUAGAUGGUAGGCGGGGUAACGGCCCACCUAGUCGACGAUCAGUAGGGGUUCUGAGAGGAAGGUCCCCCACAUUGGAACUGAGACACGGUCCAAACUCCUACGGGAGGCAGCAGUGAGGAAUAUUGGUCAAUGGACGAGAGUCUGAACCAGCCAAGUAGCGUGAAGGAUGACGGCCCUAUGGGUUGUAAACUUCUUUUGUUUGGGAAUAAAGUGCUCUACGUGUAGAGUUUUGUAUGUACCUUACGAAUAAGCAUCGGCUAAUUCCGUGCCAGCAGCCGCGGUAAUACGGAAGAUGCGAGCGUUAUCCGGAUUUAUUGGGUUUAAAGGGAGCGUAGGCGGACCUUUAAGUCAGCGGUAAAAUGUCAAUGCCCAACAUUGGCCCGCCGUUGAUACUGUUGGUCUUGAAUACACACAAGGAAGGUGGAAUUCGUUGUGUAGCGGUGAAAUGCUUAGAUAUGACGAAGAACUCCGAUUGCGAAGGCAGCCUUCUGGGGUGCGAUUGACGCUGAGGCUCGAAAGUGCGGGUAUCAAACAGGAUUAGAUACCCUGGUAGUCCGCACAGUAAACGAUGAAUGCUCGUUCUUGGUGAUAUACUAUCAGGAACCAAGGGAAACCAUUAAGCAUUCCACCUGGGGAGUACGCCGGCAACGGUGAAACUCAAAGGAAUUGACGGGGGCCCGCACAAGCGGAGGAACAUGUGGUUUAAUUCGAUGAUACGCGAGGAACCUUACCCGGGCUUGAAUUGCAGAAGACUGUUCCAGAGAUGGUUCAUUCCUUCGGGACUUCUGUGAAGGUGCUGCAUGGUUGUCGUCAGCUCGUGCCGUGAGGUGUCGGCUUAAGUGCCAUAACGAGCGCAACCCUUGUCAUCAGUUGCCAUCAGGUAAAGCUGGGCACUCUGGUGAGACUGCCAUCGCAAGAUGUGAGGAAGGUGGGGAUGACGUCAAAUCAGCACGGCCCUUACGUCCGGGGCUACACACGUGUUACAAUGGGUGGUACAGAGAGUCGGUCGCUGGCAAUAGCGAUCCAAUCCUAAAAGCCAUCCUCAGUUCGGAUUGGGGUCUGCAACCCGACCCCAUGAAGCUGGAUUCGCUAGUAAUCGCGCAUCAGCCAUGGCGCGGUGAAUACGUUCCCGGGCCUUGUACACACCGCCCGUCAAGCCAUGAAAGCCGGGGGCGCCUGAAGUCCGUGACCGCGAGGGUCGGCCUAGGGUGAAACCGGUGAUUGGGGCUAAGUCGUAACAAGGUAGCC
rnacentral:rRNA from 1 species